AGCCAGUGAUGACACUUGAUAAACUUUUCUGACACCUCGUAUGACUGCUGCCAUGCAGCAUUUGAUUAUGUGUUCUGUCUGAGGCUC